AACGAACGCUGGCGGCGUGGAUUAGGCAUGCAAGUCGAACGAGAAUCUGAGAGUUCAAGUUUUCGGACAAGAACUUUUGGAGGAAAGUGGCGGAAGGGUGAGUACAACAUGGAUAAUCUACCUUCAAGUUGGGUAUAGCUUCCCGAAAGGGGAGAUAAUCCCGAAUGUGGUGAUCCGGCGCAUGCCGGAGAAUCCAAAGGCGGGGACCGCAAGGCCUGUCGCUUGAAGAUGAGUCCGUGCACUAUCAGCUAGUUGGCGGGGUAACGGCCCACCAAGGCUAUGACGGUUAGCUGGUCUGAGAGGAUGGUCAGCCACACUGGGACUGAGAUACUGCCCAGACUCCUACGGGAGGCUGCAGUCGAGAAUCAUUCGCAAUGGGCGAAAGCCUGACGGUGCGACGUCGCGUGGAGGAUGAAGGUCUUCGGAUUGUAAACUCCUGUCAUGUGGGAUAAAUGGCCAGGGCACGAAUAGUGCCUUGGAA
rnacentral:rRNA from 1 species